rnacentral:lncRNA from 1 species
UCCGCGAUUGAACGCGUCUAUUUGUGUGCGCAUCACUUUCAAAAGAUUUGUACUCAGCUACACAACACAAGGCAAAAAGGAGGCAGCCAUUUUUUCAACAUUCAACAGGUUUUUAUAUAUGAUUAUGGUGUUGAAAGAGGUAGCUAGAGGUGCAUUAUUAAUUAACCUUUCGUUCUGCUGUUAUGUUUCUACAUGCUUACGUCGCCACGUUUACUUAUAUGGUAGUCUGUCCAGGUUAAACUUCCAUCCACUACCACUAAUUAACUACUAACAUAUACACCUAGCUACCUACCUCAUUUUUCAUUUUUUUUUUUUUGUUACUGUUGAAUUGUAUUUCACUGGCCAAGUCUUAAUUUUAUGCAAGGUACUUUGUAUGUAUUUUUUUAUAGGGUUUAAUUAAUUUUUAUGUUUAUUUUAAAGUCAUUUGUAUGCAUAAAAUUUAUUUUUGGAUAAGUUGGUCAAUUGAUCAAUAGAGUGCUGACACGCAUGCGAAAUUUUAUGUGUGUUAGAACCAAUUAAUUAACUUAUCAAUAAAUAAACUUUAUGUUAAUCGGAUCCGCAACGAAGUAUGGUAGUAGACUAGUAGUAAUUAAGUUGGGCAGGCGGUGGUGGUAACUUUGAAGUGAUGGGAUUGGGUGGGGGUGAUGUACGUUGCUCAUAUUAAUUCUCCCUCAUCUCAACCCGACUAGUGCGCCUCCCUCUUUACUUGAUAGUAUUAGUGCAGGUUACGGGGUCCUCAACCCACUUAUUCUCUCUCUAUAUUUAUCGAUCCUAAUAUAGUAGUAAUAUAUAUAUUCAAACCCUCAAUCUAUUAUUAUUCCAUUAACUACAACUAUUUUACCCACCGAUCAAAAAAUGCAACCCAAAAUUUUCUACAUCUCUCUCAUACUUGGCUUCUUGAUCUCCGGCAGUUCAUGGGCAUUUAACACCGGUGGCGGCGGACGAAAGAUGGGCUCGGCUGCUUCAAGUGGCUCAGGACAUGGUACUAACUGGGACUAUAACUGGGGCUGGGGUUCAACCCCAGAAAGCGGAUGGGGCUAUGGUUCUGGCUCAGGCCGCUCUCCUAGUGGGUUUGGUAAGGGUUCUGGCUAUGGGUUUGGUUCUGGAAGUGGGUCAGGCUCUGGUUAUGGUUAUGGGUCGGGCAGCGGUGGCGCUCGUGGAGGUGGAUAUGGCUCUGGAAGUGGUUCUGGAGGAAGUGGUGGUGGUGGUUCUGGCAGCCGUUCACCAUCAGUUAAUAGGGACAGGAACAAGCAUGGUUGAUAAAUUAUAAAUUGGCUUCAAGUUUAUAGUAUGUAUAAUUAAAUUAAUCAGCUUAUUUUGUUUGAGUUUGUAAUUAGUGUAUUAAUAUGCUAUAAAUAAAUAGCAUAUAUAGUUUGAUAAGUACCGGAGUACGUAUAAGUUGUAAGGUGUGUAAUGUAUUCUACUUGAUCUCCAUUGCAUAAUAAUUACUUUUUAAAAGAAAAAAUAUAUAUUUUAAUUUAUUUGUCGUUUAUAACUCUUUAAAAAAAUAAAUUAUUUAUUGUUUUACGUUAUCUUAACUUUUUUUUAUUGUCUCAAUUUUUUUUUUCCUAGUAUUAGUAAUAAUUUUUAAGUUUCCAUAAAAAGUAGUAGUGAU